GAACAACAACGCCCGACGACCCACCACUACUGGAGAUCAAUGACUGAACUAUGAACCACGCUGGACCAUGGUGGCAGACUAGACUGCAGUGAUCACGUCCAGGUGGAAUUCACAGUCCUAAGAAGUACAGCUUAAAUGAAGAGUAAAUAGAAUAAAAGAGAAUGGAAUUCUUUCAAUAGCAAUGGAUUCAGAAGAUCAUUCAGUCCAACUGUCACCAGGGGCUGACCCACAGUUAAACAUGGACAGACACAAAGCAUCAGCCACAUGCCUAGGAAGCUGUAAGAGACUAUUCUUUUAUAUCAUUGACUCAAAGUUUGCUGAGGAUCAAGUCCAGGCAAGUCCUGGGCAAAGGCAGAGAAAUCUUUUGUCUUGAGGACACUGAUGGACAGGUCCUGGCUAAGGAUUGUGAAAUCCUCUAAGGAGCACAGAUGGACAAGGCCAGGGGCAUCGAGAGAGAGAUAAGCUGCUGCUAAUGGCCGGGAAGCGGUCUUUUUGUGUGGACUUUUCUCAAGGAAAAUGGCCAUCUCAGGAGGUAUGCACAGGACUCUUGCUCAAGCACCCAGGAAUGUCACGUAGACAGCAGAAAAUGGAGAAUAAAAGAGGGUCCAAUAACCACAACGCUGGAAGCUGAUCCUUCACCACAACCACGGCAACGGGAGAGGCUUAUCUCUCACCACGACAGACUUGAGGGGUUCUCUGCCAACUGAUCUCUCACCGCAACGUGUAGACGGAUCUCUACGUGGAGACUGAUCUCUCACCACGACACGAGCUUCCUGCCUUCCGAUCCUCCUCUACGGACCGUUUGCUGACGGACUUCCCUGGGCCUGCUACCUGAGACCUGCUGCUUCCUCCCUGGCCUGCAUCCUCUCGCUGCCCCAGACCGGCCUCGCUGCUCCUGCCCUUCGGCCUCGGACCGUCGGAACGUCGUGCAACGGGACUGCUGCCGGAUCCUGGUGCUUAAUAUGAAAUCUUCAAGCUUCCACUGGGUAGCAUCUCUUCAUUUAUGUGUGUCCACUGCACCACUCAGCUUGGUGUCAUAUGCAGACUUGCUGGGAGUACACUUGAUCCCACUGUCCAUGCCACCUAUGAAGAUGUUAAAUAGCACUGGUCCCAGUACUGAUCCCUGAAGAACACCACUUGUCAUUGGUUUCCACUUGGACAUUGAGCUGUUGACUGCAACUCCCUGAGUGUGACCAUCCAGCCAAUUCCUUAUUCAGCUAGUGGUCCAUCCAUCAAGUCCAUUUUUCUCCAAUUUGGUGAUGAGGAUGUCAUAUGGGACAGCAUCAAAUGCACAAAUUGCAAAUUGUCAAAUGGCACAAAUCCAGGUAGAUGAUGUCAGUUGUUCUUGUUUUACCCACUGACACUGCAACUCCAUCAUAAUAGGUCAUCACAUUUGUCAGGCAUGACUUGCCCUUGGUGAAGCCAUGUUGGUUACCACCAAUCACCUCAUCUUUAUUUUCCAUGUGCCUUAGUAGGACCUUCAGAAGGAUCUGCUCCAUGAUCUUGCCAGGCACAGAGCUGGAUUCAAAUACAUGUAGGUGAAGAAAAUGCAAGAAAACAAAACAAACAAGGUUGACAAGAGUUACACUAAAUGAUUAAAAAAAUGAAACCAGCUCUGUGAAAAACAACAAAAAAAGAGAAAAUUAAACAACAAGGAGAUUAAAUAGGAGAGCUUAAUAUUGUACAACAGAUGGAAGGUUUUGUCUACAACGUGAAGGAAAUAAGCAAGUGGGCUGGAGGAGCACAAGGAACUGGGAGAGGACAGAACCAGUACAGCUGAACUAAACUGGCCAAAGGAAUAUUCCAUGCCAUAUGACAUCAUGUGAAAAACAAACAAACAAACAAACAAACAAACAAAUCCCUAAAACUGGAGGGAGUUGGCCAUUGAGGGCAGCUACUACUUGGAGAUUGGCUGGGCGCUAGUCAGUAGGUAAUGAACAAUUGUCCAUUACUU
ensembl:lncRNA